CGGCAGCACGGGAGCUUGCUCCUGGUGGCGAGUGGCGAACGGGUGAGUAACAUAUCGGAACGUACCCAGUCGUGGGGGAUAACUAUCCGAAAGGAUAGCUAAUACCGCAUACGUCCUGAGGGAGAAAGCGGGGGAUCGCAAGACCUCGCGCGAUUGGAGCGGCCGAUAUCGGAUUAGCUAGUUGGUGGGGUAAAGGCUCACCAAGGCGACGAUCCGUAGCGGGUCUGAGAGGACGACCCGCCACACUGGAACUGAGACACGGUCCAGACUCCUACGGGAGGCAGCAGUGGGGAAUUUUGGACAAUGGGGGCAACCCUGAUCCAGCCAUUCCGCGUGAGUGAAGAAGGCCUUCGGGUUGUAAAGCUCUUUCAGCAGGAACGAAACGGUCGGCUUUAAUAAAGUCGGCUAAUGACGGUACCUGCAGAAGAAGCACCGGCUAACUACGUGCCAGCAGCCGCGGUAAUACGUAGGGUGCGAGCGUUAAUCGGAAUUACUGGGCGUAAAGCGUGCGCAGGCGGCGACAUAAGACAGAUGUGAAAUCCCCGGGCUCAACCUGGGAACUGCGUUUGUGACUGUGUUGCUAGAGUGUAGCAGAGGGGGGUGGAAUUCCACGUGUAGCAGUGAAAUGCGUAGAGAUGUGGAGGAACACCGAUGGCGAAGGCAGCCCCCUGGGUUAACACUGACGCUCAUGCACGAAAGCGUGGGGGAGCAAACAGGAUUAGAUACCCUGGUAGUCCACGCCCUAAACGAUGCCAACUAGGUGUUGGGGGAGGAGACUUCCUUAGUAUCGUAGCUAACGCG
rnacentral:rRNA from 1 species